rnacentral:misc_RNA from 1 species
GAAAACUUUUGCAAAACCUUGUCAUUUUAAAAUUGCUCAUUUUCAUGGAUUUAGAUGGCAUUCCAAGCGAUUAAAGAUUACCCAAACAAUAUAUAUUUAAAACAGCAAUCAAACUAGAUUUGCAUUACAUUUCCCGAAUGCCUCCAGAGCUUUCUAAUCUAUAAAUAUGAAAACUUUGUCAAAUGUGAAGUAGUAAAAAAAAAAUUGCCAUGAUUUCAACCCCCCACCUCCAAAGAUUUGCACAUCUUUUUUCCUGGUGCAUGCAAUGUUGAUGAAUGUCACUAAUGAGCUACAUGCAAAUGCAACCCUUCAGAGAUGUGGAAUUGACAGUCCCAUCUGUCAUCCAUAUGGGUUCAUUCUGGCCAACUACAUGACCACUUCAGACAACUAUUAACUCAC